UUCCCGGGGCCUUGUACACACCGCCCGUCACACCACGAAAGUUGGCAAUACCCGAAGCCGGUGGCCUAACCCGCAAGGGAGGGAGCCGUCGAAGGUAGGGUCGAUGAUUGGGGUG
rnacentral:rRNA from 1 species